GAUGAACGCUAGCGGCAGGCCUAACACAUGCAAGUCGAGGGGUAGAGUUAGCUUGCUAAUUUGAGACCGGCGCACGGGUACGUAACGCGUAUGCAAUCUACCUUAUACAGAGGGAUAGCCCAGAGAAAUUUGGAUUAAUACCUCAUAGUAUUAUCGAAUGGCAUCAUUUGAUAAUUAAAGUUCCAACGGUAUAAGAUGAGCAUGCGUCCCAUUAGUUAGUUGGUAAGGUAACGGCUUACCAAGACUAUGAUGGGUAGGGGUCCUGAGAGGGAGAUCCCCCACACUGGUACUGAGACACGGACCAGACUCCUACGGGAGGCAGCAGUGAGGAAUAUUGGACAAUGGGCGCAAGCCUGAUCCAGCCAUGCCGCGUGCAGGAAGACGGUCCUAUGGAUUGUAAACUGCUUUUUAUACAGGAAGAAACACCGCUACGUGUAGCGGCUUGACGGUACUGUAAGAAUAAGGAUCGGCUAACUCCGUGCCAGCA
rnacentral:rRNA from 1 species